rnacentral:rRNA from 1 species
AACGUAGGUGGCGAGCGUUAUCCGGAAUUACUGGGCGUAAAGCGCACGUAGGCGGAUAUUUAAGUCAGGGGUGAAAUCCCGGGGCUCAACCCCGGAACUGCCUUUGAUACUGGGUAUCUGGAGUCCGGAAGAGGUGAGUGGAAUUCCGAGUGUAGAGGUGAAAUUCGUAGAUAUUCGGAGGAACACCAGUGGCGAAGGCGGCUCACUGGUCCGGUACUGACGCUGAGGUGCGAAAGCGUGGGGAGCAAACAGG